GAACGGUAACAGGUCUUUCGGGAUGCUGACGAGUGGCGAACGGGUGAGUAAUGGAUAGUUACAUGCCCCUUGGAGAGGGACAACAGUUGGAAACGACUGCUAAUACCUCAUACUCCAAAAAUGGGAAACGAUUUUUCGCCAAGGGAAUGGGCUAUCUCCUAUCAGCUUGUUGGUAAGGUAAAGGCUUACCAAGGCUAUGACGGGUAUCUGGUUUGAGAGGAUGAUCAGACACACUGGAACUGAAACACGGUCCAGACUCCUACGGGAGGCAGCAGUGGGGAAUAUUGCGCAAUGGGGGAAACCCUGACGCAGCAACGCCGCGUGGAGGAUGACGCCUUUCGGUGUGUAAACUCCUUUUAUAAGAAAAGAUUAUGACGGUAUCUUAUGAAUAAUCAUCGGCUAACUCCGUGCCAACAGCCGCGGUAAUACGGAGGAUGCAAGCGUUACUCCGAAUCACUGGGCGUAAAGAAAAUGUAGGCGGGUAAAAAAGUUGGAAGUGAAAUCCUGUGGCUCAACCAUGGAACUGCUUCCAAAACUCUCUACCUACAGUUCAGAAGGGGCAAAUGGAAUUUCCAGUGUAGGGGUAAAAUCCGUAGAUAUUGGAAGGAAUACCAAAAGCGAAGGCGAUUUGCUGGUAUGAUACUGACGCUGAGACUCGAAAGCGUGGGGAGCAAACAGGAUUAGAUACCCUGGUAGUCCACGCCCUAAACGAUGAAUGCUAGUCGUCGGAGAGCUAAUGUCUCUUCGGUGAUGCACUUAACAGAUUAAGCAUUCCGCCUGGGGAGUACGGUCGCAAGAUUAAAACUCAAAGGAAUAGACGGGGACCCGCACAAGUGGUGGAGCAUGUGGUUUAAUUCGAAGAUACGCGAAAAACCUUACCUACCCUUGACAUUGAUAGAAUUUCGCAGAGAUGUG
rnacentral:rRNA from 2 species